rnacentral:rRNA from 1 species
UACGUAGGGUCCGAGCGUUGUCCGGAAUUACUGGGCGUAAAGAGCUCGUAGGUGGUUUGUCGCGUUGUUCGUGAAAACUCACAGCUCAACUGUGGGCGUGCGGGCGAUACGGGCAGACUAGAGUACUGCAGGGGAGACUGGAAUUCCUGGUGUAGCGGUGGAAUGCGCAGAUAUCAGGAGGAACACCGGUGGCGAAGGCGGGUCUCUGGGCAGUAACUGACGCUGGAGGAGCGGAAA